rnacentral:tRNA from 1 species
GGAGAGGUGGCCGAGUGGCUGAAGGCACCACACUGCUAACGUGGCGGGGCGUAAAAACCCUCGAGAGUUCGAAUCUCUCCCUCUCCG